ensembl:lncRNA
NNGCCGCCGGGCCAAGUCCAGUCCGCGUUUUGCGAGUGCGCGGGAGCGCUCGGCGUGGAGGGGGCGAUGGUUGCUGGAGCUCGCUCGCUCUCUCGCUCAUGCCAUGCUGGGCCAGAUAGGCUCAGUCAGACGUGUAUUUACCCAUAUCCGGGUUAGAGAGGAAAAGAAAAAAAAAAGUUUCAUUUAAACCUGAACAAAAAAACUUUCAACAUGAAAUCACACAGCAGGAACAGGCACAGACCGUAAGGCAUUCUUACCAUUUCUAAUCUCAAUCACGGACUCGGGGAGGGAAAUUUCUGUAAUUUUUGUGUGUGUGGAGUGAUCCGCAGGGGAUACUGUUGGCUCAGUUAAGUCUCUUUCCCCCAGCCGUUUCUCUUUUUGCCCCUCUCCUCUCCCUUCCUCCACCCCAUCCACUCCCCCCCCCCUUUUUUGAGGGUAGUUUUUUUUUUUUUUAAUUAUUAUUACUACUAAUUUCUCCGGACUUGCCAUGUUGCAAUGAUCAUGGCCGCGCAAAUCGCAGCGGCUCCGGCGGGUGCGAACAACAGCAAGGGCAAAGCCCCGAGCCUGCCGGGCAGCCUGGGCCCGGAGCGGGGCCCGGGGGGGGCCGCCGCCGCCGCGGGGGCUCCCGGGCCGGGCCCCAUGCUGGGGGUCGGAGACGGGACUCCCACCGGCGGCAGCAGCCUGAAUAAUGUAGAUCACCAUCUCCUCCACCACCACAGCGAGCCGCUGAACAUGGCCAAUAACGCAACUUCUGCCGCUGCCACCAGUAACAACAACAACAACGCCAGCGGCGGCGGCCGCUCCUCCUCGGAGCCGGCUCUGAAGGAAGGUGGAAGCUCCUCGGCGUUAUCUUCUUCUUCUUCGUCUUCUUCCUCCUCCUCCUCCUCCUCCUCCAACCCGGGCUCGGCCAUGGAGACGGGGCUGCUCCCCAACCACAAACUGAAAGGCGUCGGAGGCGAUCACCCCGCCGCGCCGCCCCACCACCACCAUGCCCACCACCCGCAUCACCAUGCCCACCACCACCAUGCCCACCACCCGCACCACCACCACCAUGCACUACAGCAGCAGCUAAAUCAAUUCCAGCCGCCGCCGCCGCCGCAGCAGCCGCCGCCUCAGCACCAUCCCAUGCAGAAUAACAACAGCAGCCUCGGCGGCGGCGGCGGCAGCAGCGGCGGCAGCAACAACAACGGCGGUGGCGGUGGCGGCGCUGCUCAGCCCAGUGCAGACAUGGAGCAGCAGCAACAUGGAGGAAAAGACAGUGUUUUGGGCACUAAGGCCGAGCCCCCGCAGCAGCCGCAGCAAAUGCUGAAUAAAGGCGCCGACGAGGAGGAGAUGCCCGGCAAAAUGGGCGAGCCCAUCGGCAGCCGCUACGAUCACGCCGGCUUGGGACCCCUAGGCGGACAGCAGCAGCCCCAGCAGCCACCCCAGAGCGCUGGGAGCGGCGGCGGCCUCGGCGGUGGCGGCGGCGGCGGGAGCGGGGGAGGCGGCGGCGGCCCCUCCGCGGUGGGUGUCUCGGAGUUCAAUAGCUAUUAUGGCAACGCUGCCCCCGCCGCUGCCGGCAGCGCCGCGGCGAGCCGCGCCGGGCCUUGCUUUGAUCAACAUGGCGGACAACAAAGCCCCGGGAUGGGGAUAAUGCACCCCACGGCGGCCCCCAACAGCAUGGACCCCCUGCAAAACUCCCACGAAGGUUACCCCAACAGCCAGUACAACCACUACCCGGGCUACGGCCGGGGCCCCGGCG